GCAAGUCGAGCGCGGGAAGCGAGCGGAUCCCUUCGGGGUGAAGCUCGUGGAACGAGCGGCGGACGGGUGAGUAACACGUGGGCAACCUGCCUGUAAGAUCGGAAUAACCCCGGGAAACCGGGGCUAAUGCCGGGUAAUACUUUUCUUCGCAUGAAGAUGAGUUGAAAGAUGGCUUCUCGCUAUCACUUACAGAUGGGCCCGCGGCGCAUUAGCUAGUUGGUGAGGUAACGGCUCACCAAGGCAACGAUGCGUAGCCGACCUGAGAGGGUGAUCGGCCACACUGGGACUGAGACACGGCCCAGACUCCUACGGGAGGCAGCAGUAGGGAAUCUUCCGCAAUGGACGAAAGUCUGACGGAGCAACGCCGCGUGAACGAUGAAGGUCUUCGGAUCGUAAAGUUCUGUUGUCAGGGAAGAACAAGUACCGUGCGAAUAGAGCGGUACCUUGACGGUACCUGACGAGGAAGCCCCGGCUAACUACGUGCCAGCAGCCGCGGUAAUACGUAGGGGGCAAGCGUUGUCCGGAAUUAUUGGGCGUAAAGCGCGCGCAGGCGGUUCCUUAAGUCUGAUGUGAAAGCCCACGGCUCAACCGUGGAGGGUCAUUGGAAACUGGGGAACUUGAGGACAGAAGAGGAGAGUGGAAUUCCACGUGUAGCGGUGAAAUGCGUAGAUAUGUGGAGGAACACCAGUGGCGAAGGCGACUCUCUGGUCUGUUUCUGACGCUGAGGUGCGAAAGCGUGUGUAGCAAACAGGAUUAGAUACCCUGGUAGUCCACGCCGUAAACGAUGAGUGCUAGGUGUU
rnacentral:rRNA from 1 species